UUGAAAAAAAAAAUUAAGAAUUUAGUCCAUGAAGCAGUUAACUCUCUCCGUCCCACCCUUCUCCCUCUUCCUCUCCCGCUCCACCUUCAUCUCCUUCUCCACCUCCAUCUCCGUCGCUGCAAAUAGACGGACCGACAGCCUCCUUCCGGUGGAAAUCGAAACCAUCGUCAAAGUCAAAGCCUAAAAAGAGGGCGGUUACAAGGCUGGGCUUAUAUACUGAAGAAUCUGAUUAUAUUCUAGGCUAGCUGCUUUCUUUGGUAAGGGAGUAGAUACUUUAUAUGCCAUGGACAGGGAAUGGAUACGAAAUUCGAAUCGA